CAUCCCUUCCAGGGUCUGGCCAGCACCAAGAAGUCUGCAGUAACCAGCCACACUCCAUCUGCUUUUAGUAUAAAAGGACUCUUGAGUUCUCACUCAGAUUACCAAACCCAGAGUGACACCUUUGGGCAGACUCGGAGUAGAGAACCAUCAUUCCUUCCUAAAGGGCUUUCCUCCUGGCCUUGAGAGAGCAGCAGGUCUGGUAAAAGAUGAGCAGCAACUGGAUUCUCUCUUCUCUGAUGCCCUGCACAGUGUUCUUUCUACCGUAUCACACUGGCUCUGAUGUCCUCUUUCAGCAUCUGCAGGAAAUUAUGUAGGUGGCUAUUGCUGUUGGACACUAUUGGAAGGCCCUGAUCUAAAGCUUUUGGUCAUUUACGACAUAUACUGGAAGCCAGACACCCCUCGGAGCUGUCCCACAGAGCAGCCCGCUUGUCCCACUCUCUGCGAGAUUUUGGAGUCGGCCAGUGGUGGAGUGGGAGUGAGGGAGAGGUGGCCUCAAGGCUUUGUCUCUCUGCCAAAUGGGCACACGGAAAAGUUUCUGCAGCCUGGUGACAGGGGAACAGAAGAGCAGCCCAUUUUCUACGUGAACCACACUUCUUCCUUUGGCCAGGAUCCCUUGGUUUAAACUCCUGCUACACCACGCUUCAGCAGCUCUGAACUCGCUUCAGUUAAGAAUGCUGCCUAUAGCCUGAAAUACGCCGGAGAGCCCAUUCUCAAGGUUCUGACCUUAAAGACAUAACACUUUGCCACUCCUAUAGAGGUAAAAGGUUGCAGAACAGAGAAUAACAUUUGUCUUGUUGGGGGUUUACAGGAACCUUGUGUCCUGACCUACGUGGACACUGCUGCACUUUUACCUCGUCAGCACUUCCUGCCGCAGCCGCCAGAGGGAGCCAGUCACAAGGGCAGCUUGGAGGGGCGGCCGCCGCCCACA